rnacentral:rRNA from 1 species
GUUGUUCGGAAUUACUGGGCGUAAAGGGCUCGUAGGCGGCCAACUAAGUCGGAUGUGAAAUCCCCAGGCUUAACCUGGGAACUGCAUCCGAUACUGGAUGGCUUGAAUUCGGGAGAGGGAUGCAGAAUUCCAGGUGUAGCGGUGAAAUGCGUAGAUAUCUGGAGGAAUACCGGUGGCGAAGGCGGCAUCCUGGACCGAGAUUGACGCUGAUGAGCGAAAGCUAGGGGAGCAAACGGG